rnacentral:rRNA from 1 species
GAUGAACGCUGGCGGCGUGCCUAAUACAUGCAAGUCGAGCGAACAGACGAGGAGCUUGCUCCUCUGACGUUAGCGGCGGACGGGUGAGUAACACGUGGAUAACCUACCUAUAAGACUGGGAUAACUUCGGGAAACCGGAGCUAAUACCGGAUAAUAUAUUGAACCGCAUGGUUCAAUAGUGAAAGACGGUUUUGCUGUCACUUAUAGAUGGAUCCGCGCCGCAUUAGCUAGUUGGUAAGGUAACGGCUUACCAAGGCAACGAUGCGUAGCCGACCUGAGAGGGUGAGCGGCCACACUGGAACUGAGACACGGUCCAGACUCCUACGGGAGGCAGCAGUAGGGAAUCUUCCGCAAGGGGCGAAAGCCUGACGGAGCAACGCCGCGUGAGUGAUGAAGGUCUUCGGAUCUUAAAACUCUGUUAUUAGGGAAGAACAAAUGUGUAAGUAACUAUGCACGUCUUGACGGUACCUAAUCAGAAAGCCACGGCUAACUACGUG